rnacentral:rRNA from 1 species
UACAGAGGUCCCAAGCGUUGUUCGGAUUCAUUGGGCGUAAAGGGUGCGUAGGCGGCGCGGUAAGUCGGGUGUGAAAUCUCGGAGCUUAACUCCGAAACUGCAUUCGAUACUGCCGUGCUUGAGGACUGGAGAGGAGACUGGAAUUUACGGUGUAGCGGUGAAAUGCGUAGAUAAUCGUAAGGAAGACCAGUGGCGAAGGCGGGUCUCUGGACAGUUCCUGACGCUGAGGCACGAAGGCCGGGGAGCAAACGGG